CUGCUGUGCUCAACCCGCCGCUACCAACCUCGGGGAAGUGAAGACGUCUGUAUCCAGGUGACCUCUGUUCCAGCCUCUUUGGUGCCCUACAGUCUGUCUUUCUCUGCCCGGGUGUCCUCUCCUCGUCCAGUCUCUAAAGUAGAGUCCAACUGUCCUCUGGACGCUCUCCAGUACCUCAACACAGAGCAAACCCAGGCUUCGGUCAAGUUGGCUGCAGGACACAAGUUUGACAGAGAUGUUGACACUGCUGAUUUAUUACAAAGAUGCCCAC